GGGGAUGUAGCUCAGCGGUAGAGCGCGUAGUUCGCGUUUAUGAGGUCCCGGGUUCGAUUCCCGGCAUCUCCA